rnacentral:rRNA from 1 species
AGUGAACGCUGGCGGCGUGCUUAACACAUGCAAGUCGAACGAGAACGGAAUAUAGCUUGCUAUAUUUGUCAGCUAAGUGGCGCACGGGUGAGUAAUGUAUAGAUAACCUGCCCUUAAGAAAGGAAUAACAGUUGGAAACGACUGCUAAUGCCCUAUAUGCCUUUAAUACAUAAGUAUGCAAGGGAAACGCUUUAGUGCUUAAGGAUGGGUCUGUAUGGUAUCAGCCUGUUGGUGAGGUAAUGGCUCACCAAGGCUAUGACGCCUAACUGGUUUGAGAGGAUGAUCAGUCACACUGGAACGGAGACACGGUCCAGACUCCUACGGGAGGCAGCAGUGGGGAAUAUUGCACAAUGGACGAAAGUCUGAUGCAGCAACGCCGCGUGGUGGAUGACACAUUUCGGUGCGUAAACUCCUUUUAUAUAGGAAGAUAAUGACGGUACUAUAUGAAUAAGCACCGGCUAACUCCGUGCCAGCAGCCGCCGUAA